AUAAUUCAAGUAAUGACGUGUCUUAAAAGCAACAGAGCCGAAGAGAGACGCAUGCAACUCGAUAUGUUUCGUAUUUGUUUAUUUUGUAACAUAUUGAGAAUUUACUGUUGAGGUUAAGUGCAGUGUGAUGCGGAGAGAUAUUUUACUGAUUGUGCUGACACUCGCUAAUGUUGGCAGUUUCCACGAAGAAAAACCAGAUACACUGCUUUGCCGUCAGUGUGGUGCUGAUGUAGGACAUUCGAAGCACAUAUUUAAUGUUUACAGUCCCUCUGGGACUGUUCUUCGUAACCAGACGUGGUUUGGUAAAAAGUUUGUUGAUGUUCACAUUUUCGAAAACCCAUUGGGUAUUAAGUUCCGCGUUGUGACGUUAGCUAAAGCUGAAUGUGUUGGAAUUAAUGAAUGGCAAAGAGAAUAUACUUGGUUUCCUGGUUAUGCAUGGAAAAAUUGUAUGUGCUCUCAUUAUGGUCACCAUUUAGGAUGGAUGUAUGAGCCCUUAGCAACUGCCAAUAACAGACAGUCAUUUCCUUCAAGUGAGGGUUUUUAUGCAUUGAUAGUGGACGAUAUCAUAUCAGAGAGCUUUCCACACCUUCCUCUGCCAUGUGGGCCAACCUCAGACAGCUCUCUGGAACCAAGAUCCAAUCCCCAAUUUCCGGCUUGACGCUGUCAUCGUGGACCCUAUUGCUAUCUCCAACACCUUGGGCCGCCAUUUUGCGGAAGUUUCGAGCUCUUCAGAAACGAGUGGAGGCGGCUCGGGCGAUACCCUUCUCUUCUCCAAAUUUUGCAGAUUCCCUUAUUUUACCGAAGUCAUCUUGGUGAAGAUUGUGGAGUAGUUCUAGAAAACAAUACGAAAAUAUCACAAAGUUCUCCAUAUCUACAGUGUUUUUCUUCUCUGGUUUUCAACAGUGUAAAGUUAGUUGCAUAGGUUGAAGAAACAGCAAGUGGAAGCAGUCAUG